GGGGGUGUAGCUCAUCUGGUAGAGCGCGUGCUUAGCAUUUCCCAUCUGCUUGACGAGUCAAUCGCCAUCAGGUUACAUGUUACCUGCACGAGGUACUGGGUUCGACUCCCAGCUCCUCCA